AGUGAACGCUGGCGGUAGGCCUAACACAUGCAAGUCGAACGGCAGCACAGUAAGAGCUUGCUCUUACGGGUGGCGAGUGGCGGACGAGUGAGGAAUACAUCGGAAUCUACUUUUUCGUGGGGGAUAACGUAGGGAAACUUACGCUAAUACCGCAUACGACCUACGCGUGAAAGCAGGGGAUCUUCGGACCUUGCGCGAUUGAAUGAGCCGAUGUCGGAUUAGCUAGUUGGCGGGGUAAAGGCCCACCAAGGCGACGAUCCGUAGCUGGUCUGAGAGGAUGAUCAGCCACACUGGAACUGAGACACGGUCCAGACUCCUACGGGAGGCAGCAGUGGGGAAUAUUGGACAAUGGGCGCAAGCCUGAUCCAGCCAUACCGCGUGGGUGAAGAAGGCCUUCGGGUUGUAAAGCCCUUUUGUUGGGAAAGAAAAGCAGCAGGUUAAUACCCCGCUGUUCUGACGGUACCCAAAGAAUAAGCACCGGCUAACUUCGUG
rnacentral:rRNA from 1 species